rnacentral:lncRNA from 1 species
CCGCCGAACGGACAGAGUCUUCCCUGUCCGCCCAAGGCUAACCAACCAGAUCAUGUAUAACAAGUCCCCAGGAAAUCAACUUGAAUACAUACAUGAUCAUGCAACAACAGCGAGAGCACGAACAGUGCUGAACAUUACAAGAGCAAGCGUCACAAGUAGAAGACAUACAAGUGAAACAAAAGAGAGAUAUAUCUAGCUAUUACAUCCAUUCAACUAUAAUACAUUAGAUUUCAACUUAGCUUUACAUUCAUCCAAAGUAUAAACUUAAAGUUUACAUUUAUCUCAAAACAGCCUCACACCUGUACAUCAUCUACUCUCAAGUAUAUAGGGUGACAACUAAUGCAAUAGGAAAGCAUCUACCAACUAGCACUAGGGCGCUAAGCCCUUGCCACGAUCAUCUGCCGGUCCGCUCUCGUGUGUACCUGUACCCCAAAACCACACGGGGUAAGAACUAUAUAAAUAUAGUUCCCAAUGGGUUCGGC